GAUGAACGCUGGCGGCGUGCCUAAUACAUGCAAGUCGAGCGAACAGACGAGGAGCUUGCUCCUCUGACGUUAGCGGCGGACGGGUGAGUAACACGUGGAUAACCUACCUAUAAGACUGGGAUAACUUCGGGAAACCGGAGCUAAUACCGGAUAAUAUAUUGAACCGCAUGGUUCAAUAGUGAAAGACGGUUUUGCUGUCACUUAUAGAUGGAUCCGCGCCGCAUUAGCUAGUUGGUAAGGUAACGGCUUGCCAAGGCAACGAUGCGUAGCCGACCUGAGAGGGUGAUCGGCCACACUGGAACUGAGACACGGUCCAGACUCCUACGGGAGGCAGCAGUAGGGAAUCUUCCGCAAUGGGCGAAAGCUUGACGGAGCAACGCCGCGUGAGUGAUGAAGGUCUUCGGAUCGUAAAACUCUGUUAUUAGGGAAGAACAAAUGUGUAAGUAACUAUGCACGUCUUGACGGUACCUAAUCAGAAAGCCACGGCUAACUACGUG
rnacentral:rRNA from 1 species